UCCCUCACCUUAGGCGCUUUAUAUCAUAACUGCAACUUGCUACACCAUCAUGAACAUUACCGCUAGCAUCCACUUGGCUCAAGUGUCACGCUUCAUCAAUGAAUGAAAUAACAAUCAAUUCACACAACCCAAAAAUUUAACACAUCACAAAAUAAGUAAAACACGUUUUUAUUUUAUUUUGAAAACCAAUUCCUAAUACUUUGAAACUAAACAUUAAAGUGAGAUAAAGAAUUCAAUUAAUCAAAGACUUCAAAUAAUAGCAAUAGUAAUAUAACUAUGAUGAAAACAGAAAUAAACAUUACUGCCAAGAACAUAACGUUGGUGGAAGAUAAGGAUGAUAUAAUAGGAUUUAUCAACUAUAUAGAACUUAAGCAAUAUUUUAGCCUUGUUAAAGGAGUAAGAAAGUAAACCAAAAAAAAUCACUUCGUUUUUAGAAUAAAUGGUAAUGGAUAAUUAAAAUUGAUAUUGUAAUUCUUCAUAUGGAACAAGGAUACCGUUGUACCUUUUUAUUGAGUGUUCUGCACUUUAUGGAGGGUUAAUAGGUUUAGAAAGUUCAGUAUGUAGAUGAGUGGAAGAAUUUGAACACCAGUAGCCUCAAAGAACAAUGUAGGAUUUAAUAGGUGGUGUUGAUUAUGAGUUAAAGGAACAAUUGGUAAACGCAAAACAUUUUGGAUGGAGGGUUGGUACAAUGGUUUCUGACUCAACUUUUCUCAAUUAGGAAAAAGAAUAUGGAUGAGCAGUUGUGUGUAGAAGAGAAAAACGGCAAAGGGAGUCUUAUUGCUAUGAUAUACAAAAUUAGGUUUCAAGCACAAAUAAAAUGUGUGAACAAAAAUUAUACAUAGAUUAUAUAACAACAAUAAAACGUGAAUUAAGGAAG
rnacentral:lncRNA from 1 species